CCCUUAGAUGUUCUGGGCCGCACGCGCGCUACACUGAUGCAUUCAACGAGUUUUUCCUGGUCCGAGAGGAAUGGGUAACCUUUUGAAAGCGCAUCGUGCUAGGGAUAGACUAUUGCAAUUAUUGGUCUUCAACGAGGAAUUCCUAGUAGACGUAGUUCAUCAGACUGCAUCGAUUACGUCCCUGCCCUUUGUACACACCGCCCGUCGCUCCUACCGAUUGGAUGAUCCGGUGAGCUAUUCGGACCUUCGCUUCGUCGAUUUUCGGCUUUGUGAGGGAAAGUCUCGCGAACCUUAUCAUCUAGAGGAAGGAGAAGUCGUAACA
rnacentral:rRNA from 1 species